AUUGAACGCUGGCGGCAUGCCUUACACAUGCAAGUCGUGCGAGAAAGGGCUUCGGCCCCGGUAAAGCGGCGCACGGGUGAGUAACACGUAGGUAACCUACCCCUUGGUGGUGGAUAGCCUUCCGAAAGGAGGGCUAAUACAGCAUGAGACCACGAUUUCGUAAGAGAUUGGGGUCAAAUCGGGCCUCUAUAUAUAAGCUCGAGCCGAGGGAUGGGGCUGCGGCCCAUCAGCUAGUUGGUAGGGUAAUGGCCUACCAAGGCAAAGACGGGUAGCUGGUCUGAGAGGAUGAUCAGCCACACUGGAACUGAGACACGGUCCAGACUCCUACGGGAGGCAGCAGUGGGGAAUCUUGCGCAAUGGGGGAAACCCUGACGCAGCGACGCCGCGUGAGUGAUGAAGGCCUUCGGGUUGUAAAGCUCUGUGGAGAGGGACGAAUAAGUGUGGUCGAAUAGGCCGCAUGAUGACGGUACCUUUUUAGCAAGCACCGGCUAACUCUGUGCCAGCAGCCGCGGUAA
rnacentral:rRNA from 1 species